GAUGAAGACGUAGCAAAAUGCGAUAAGUAAUGUGAAUUGCAGAAUUCAGUGAAUCAUCGAAUCUUUGAACGCACAUUGCGCCCGCUGGUAUUCCGGCGGGCAUGCCUGUUCGAGCGUCAUUUCAACCCUCAAGCCCCCCGGGUUUGGUGUUGGGGAUCGGCUCUGCCUCACGGCGGUGCCGCCCCCGAAAUACAUUGGCGGUCUCGCUGCAGCCUCCAUUGCGUAGUAGCUAACACCUCGCAACUGGAACGCGGCGCGGCCAUGCCGUAAAACCCCAACUUCUGAAUGUUGACCUCGGAUCAGGUAGGAAUACCCGCUGAACUUAAGCAUAUCAAUAAGCGGAGGA
rnacentral:misc_RNA from 1 species